rnacentral:rRNA from 1 species
UACGUAGGGUGCAAGCGUUGUUCGGAAUUACUGGGCGUAAAGCGCGCGUAGGCGGCUUUGUAAGUUAGAGGUGAAAGCCCGGGGCUCAACCCCGGAAUUGCCUUUAAGACUGCAUCGCUUGAAUCCGGGAGAGGUGAGUGGAAUUCCGAGUGUAGAGGUGAAAUUCGUAGAUAUUCGGAAGAACACCAGUGGCGAAGGCGGCUCACUGGACCGGCAUUGACGCUGAGGUGCGAAAGCGUGGGGAGCAAACAGG